rnacentral:tRNA from 1 species
GGGGAUUUAGCUCAGCCGCACAGCACCUGCCCGGCAAGUGGGAGGUCCUGAGUUUGAUUCCCAGUAUCCCCC